AAAAAGGUUUUUUUGUAAAAACCACCAUACUCAACCAAAACAAAACCA
rfam:Fulmarus glacialis contig57527, whole genome shotgun sequence.